rnacentral:miRNA from 11 species
AAAAGUGCUGUUUGUGCAGGUAG